UUUGUAGGUGACUAGUCAGCUUCUUUGAUUAGGGUGUAGAGUAAAUGCUAUCAAGGUUACCGGAAGAUUUCUCCUUUGUGGAUAUAUAUUGGAUUGUGAUCAGGCCCUGGUUGUCAGAUUCAAGGACAAGAACGUGAUACAGUAUGGCAGGGAUUGAAGUCCAGCCUAUCUGAACAGGUGCUUCCCUUCCACUUGAAGGAAGAAGCAAACACAUGCAACAAGAAUGAAACACAUAUGAACUUACAAAGAGUGUGACAGCACAUCCAAGAUGUGCGCAGACUCAAACCAGAUGAAAUCAAAGCACUGAGAAAGAGAAAUAGAAACAAAGUCCCACACCUAACCAAGAAGUUACUUGCAAUUGAUAUCUGCUGGAAAGAAAAAAUCAAUUUUCUCCAAAGGAGUGUCACUUCACUCCAGAUCCAAGAUGACGGUGAUCAGCUCACAUCAUAUCUGAGGGGCACAGGAUACAAAACUCUGAAACUGGUUCAUAAAUUAUGAAGACUCUUUCGAAUAAAAUUCGAGAGCGCCACCUGGAACAAAUGAAGACUUUAUAGAGCGGUAGUUAAGGU